rnacentral:tRNA from 4 species
GGCGGGGUAGCUCAGUUGGUUAGAGCACAGGACUCAUAAGCCUGGGGUCGGUGGUUCGAAUCCACUCCCCGCUACCA